rnacentral:rRNA from 1 species
UACGUAGGGCGCAAGCGUUGUCCGGAAUUAUUGGGCGUAAAGAGCUCGUAGGCGGUUUGUCGCGUCUGCUGUGAAAGCCCGGGGCUCAACCCCGGGUCUGCAGUGGGUACGGGCAGACUAGAGUGCAGUAGGGGAGACUGGAAUUCCUGGUGUAGCGGUGAAAUGCGCAGAUAUCAGGAGGAACACCGAUGGCGAAGGCAGGUCUCUGGGCUGUUACUGACGCUGAGGAGCGAAAGCAUGGGGAGCGAACGAUGAUAGUACCGUACCGUAUC